CCAUUUUUAAUCAUGUAAUUUACAGUCACUUUUUCAUCCAAAAAUUUAGCAAGUGUAGAGUCAGCUACUGGGCUCACUAUAUUUUGGAAUCCAUAUCCAACUCAAAGGUAAACAGCCUCUAUCAUUUCUUUCCAGGCUCAUUCCUUCCCCACUGGAACUAACACAUUGUUCAUCAGACAUUCAAUAAAAUGCCUGCCAUCUGACACACUGAACUUCGUACCUCUCACAGCUCUCCUGGAUGGUUGUCUCACUCAACUUAUGUGGUUACCUGGUAUCUCAAUGAAGGGAAACUAUGUUGAAACUGAAGAGGACAUGGCUAUCUAUGUAGCUUCUUUGUUCCCUUCUGGAUUUCCAAGUCUCCUAAAUGGGACAGGGCUUCCAGGAAAAGCAACAAAGAAGAUCUGAAAGCAGAUGGUGGUAAUGGUUGCACAGCAAUGAAAAUAUAUUAACACCACAGAAUGUACACUUAAAAUUGGUUCCAAAGGUAAUUUUUAUGUUAUGUAUUUUUUUCCCCUCUUUCCCCCCCAAAAGAGCAAUAGAGCUUUCAUUUUCUUUCCUAUUCUUGGCCUCUUUGAGCCUCCUGCUGUCUGUUAACAACCCAUAUAAUUCCACCCCAGCUCCACAGCUCAAUGGCUGCUGACGGGAAGGAGGAGAAGACUUCUACUUAUCCAAGGAAGCUAAUGGACUCAGAGCCCUUCUU